UUCUAAAAACCGGGUGCGUGUGAACAAAU
rnacentral:piRNA from 1 species